AAUCAACGCUGGCGGCGUGCCUCAGACAUGCAAGUCGAACGAUUAAACUUUCCUUCGGGAAAGAUAUAAAGUUGCGUACGGCUGAGUUACACGUAAGUAAUCUACCCCUCGAGUGGGGAAUAACAAUCGGAAACGAUUGCUAAUACCGCCUAAUGCAGCGGCACCGUAAGGUGACAGUUGUUAAAGGAUUUAUUCGCUUGAGGAGGAGCUUGCGGCAGAUUAGCUAGUUGGUAAGGUAAUGGCUUACCAAGGCGACGAUCUGUAGCCGGUCUAAGAGGACGGUCGGUCACACUGACACUGAAUAACGGGUCAGACUCCUACGGGAGGCAGCAGUCGGGAAUUUUGGGCAAUGGGCGAAAGCCUGACCCAGCAACGCCGCGUGAAGGAUGAAGUCUUUCGGGAUGUAAACUUCGAAAGAAUAGGAAGAAUAAAUGACGGUACUAUUUAUAAGGUCCGGCUAACUACGUGCCAGCAGCCGCGGUAACAC
rnacentral:rRNA from 1 species